rnacentral:rRNA from 1 species
CAAAGGAAUUGACGGGGCCCGCACAAGCGGUGGAGCAUGUGGUUAAUCGACGCAACGCGAAGAACCUUACCAGGGCUUGACAUCCCCUGACCGCGUAUGAAAGUACGUUUUCACCCUCGGGUGACAGGGAGACAGGUGGUGCAUGGUUGUCGUCAGCUCGUGUCGUGAGAUGUUGGGUUAAGUCCCGCAACGAGCGCAACCCUCGCCUCUAGUUGCCAGCAUUCGGUUGGGCACUCUAGAGGGACUGCCGGCGACAAGUCGGAGAAAGGUGGGGAUGACGUCAAAUCAUCAUGCCCCUUAUGACCUGGGCUACACACGUGCUACAAUGGGCGGUACAAAGGGCUGCGAACCCGCGAGGGGGAGCGAAUCCCAAAAAGCCGCUCUCAGUUCGGAUUGCAGGCUGCAACUCGCCUGCAUGAAGCCGGAAUCGCUAGUAAUCGCGGAUCAGCAUGCCGCGGUGAAUACGUUCCCGGGCCUC